AGUGAACGCUGGCGGUAGGCCUAACACAUGCAAGUCGAACGGCAGCACAGUAAGAGCUUGCUCUUACGGGUGGCGAGUGGCGGGCGGGUGAGGAAUACAUCGGAAUCUACUUUUUCGUGGGGGAUAACGUAGGGAAACUUACGCUAAUACCGCAUACGACCUACGGGUGAAAGCAGGGGAUCUUCGGACCUUGCGCGAUUGAAUGAGCCGAUGUCGGAUUAGCUAGUUGGCGGGGUAAAGGCCCACCAAGGCGACGAUCCGUAGCUGGUCUGAGAGGAUGAUCAGCCACACUGGAACUGAGACACGGUCCAGACUCCUACGGGAGGCAGCAGUGGGGAAUAUUGGACAAUGGGCGCAAGCCCGAUCCAGCCAUACCGCGUGGGUGAAGAAGGCCUUCGGGUUGUAAAGCCCUUUUGUUGGGAAAGAAAAGCAGCAGGUUAAUACCCCGCUGUUCUGACGGUACCCAAAGAAUAAGCACCGGCUAACUUCGUG
rnacentral:rRNA from 1 species